rnacentral:lncRNA from 1 species
CUUUUUUGCCGGUUCUUCCCGCUGAGGAAGUGUCGCUCAAGACGCUGGCCUAUGAGUUGUGAUUUCUGCCUUUUCCCCUUCCUCCUUGGGCUAAGCCAGACCAGAAAGGGCCCCGUGCGCAACGUGCUUCACAAUCUCUCAGGGAAAGCGGCUAACGUGGCGCUACUCCGCCUCCCCUGUUCCUUACCCUUGGGGCGGCCGCCAUGUUUCCUGAACACAAAAUGGCGACACGUGGUUAGCAUUCGUCGCCAACGAGAAAUUGGGGUCGGCCCGAAAGCUCUAGAAUGCACCCCUCUUCCUCCCCGGGGCCUUCCACCUCCGCGAGUUUUAUGACUUAAAAAAGCCCACAGGCUGGUCUGAAGGUCGGAGGCCUAAUUUUAACGCGUUUUCCUCCCUUUAAUUUGAAACGGGAACGCGAAUGACUGUAAAAUGUGGGCACAAUAUUUAAUCUCUCGCCUUUUUAAAGCUUAAUAGUGGAUAAUAGGGGGGCAGUAUCAAGGGAUAAUUUGGGUCCCCACAGUACCAAAGCAUUUAGAAACCUCUGUUUAAUUUAAGGAAUGAGAUAAGUUACUGCUUUUCUAGACUUCCUAGCAUGGGCUGUUGUGCUGGAGAGAACGAGAGCUACGAAGAGACUACAGUGCCUCUGACUUUUUCAUAGGACAGUUGGCCGAGGAAGACAAACAUAAAGAUGAAGUGCUUAAUUCAAGGUCACACAAUGUCGGGGAUGGACCUCCAGAUUUCCUUACUGACCUGCAUUAUCUUGUGGAUACCUGAGUGAAUUCCACACCACCCAUUUUAUAGAUGAAACCACUGAGACAUGGAGCAAUUGACUGAGUAGUCACUGCCCCACCCCUGCCUGGAGCCUCACACAUGACUCGCCUCCUCUCAGUGACCACAGGAAAACAAGCUCAGGGCUCCCACUGAUUGUACAUUAUGGUCACAGAAUUUUCCACACUCCUUGACAGAGGUGCUUAACCCUUAUCCAUCAGCAUUCUCAGACAGCACCUCCGGUUAGGGACAGUAUCUGACCGUCCGACAUCCCUGCAGCCCCCAUGUGUCACACAGACUCAGCCUCAGGUAGAUGGUUUCCGUAGAUGGUGGCUUUCUUUGGACCCUUGACAUCAACCAGUUACUAUUUGGUAAGAACUUAAGUCAUUCCAGUGCCUCUCUCAGAAGCAUUUGCAUUUAGAAUUUCAGGUGUCAUAGAAGUAAUGAAAGACGUUGCAUUCCUGAAGGAAUGAAUAAAUUAUUCAUUUUGUUGUUCUGGAA